rnacentral:lncRNA from 1 species
CUCUGGCUUAAUUUCGUCAUAGACUUACGUCAUAGACUUAAUUUCAAUGGAUUUAAUACCCUUUCAAACAGGAGCAGGAGUGUUUUAUCAGAUAUAAAACACGAGGCGACAGCCGAGUGUCUUAUAUGUGAUAAAGCACGGAAUUUAAAUGGCUUAAAAAACGACCCAUCUUACGAGUUCAUUGGCGACGUAAUUUAAAAAAUCAACGUUGUCUCAGGCGAGAAAAUCAAAGCUAAAGUUUAUGUAAAUUAACAUGAUUUUUUAUCACAUAAAACCACCGACUAGGGUUGGGCGAUAUUUCGGUUUAUCGCGAUAUUUUCAAUCGCGAUUAUCGUAUCGAAGGUAGGAACUUGAACGACGAUAUAUUGAAAUUAUCGUCAUGGUCGAAAACUAUCGUGAUAUUGCUUCGCAUAUGUACAUAAAUUCCUAAAAUAAUCUUUCAAUUCCUAGAAAAUACAGUUUUUAAAAGAAUGAAACCUAUUUCCCGAAUUAAAUACGAAUUUAAUACGACACAAAAGCUAAUAUUUAUGUAUUAAAAUAAUCCACUGAACAAUGAAAUUGCAGGCUUUGCUUGGACUGUGUGCCCACAGCAUUUGUGCCAGCGGAGACAUAGUAGACAAUGCAUAUACAGUUCUGGUGUAUGAGCAGUAAAUAUUAGACUAGAAAAAGCCUUCAUAUUACUUUAAUUUGUUGUUUUUACUUGUUUUUAACAAGAUUAUAUAUAAGCUUACUAUGCUUUGACAUUAAUUAAAAUUGAAAAAUGUGGUCAUUGUUUUUAUUGCAUUUAUCGCGAUAUUAUCGAAUAUCGUGAUAAUUUCCUUGAUAAUUUCCUUUGUCUUUACCUGAUUAUUAAUGAGUUUUUUAAAAUUUCGAUAGAUUUAAUUUCAAUAAAUUUCAAUGAAAAAUUGCUUAGCCUUAGAAUCGGCUUAAAACAUUAAAAUAUUGAUGCUAUAGAAUAUGGAUCACUGGUACAUAAAAAUACAGAAAUCUCUAUGGAGUAUGCAUUUAUUUUAUUCACCCCAUAUAUAUCUGCCCUAAUGGCUCA